AUAUUUACCAUGCAAGGGUGAUUCCAUGAUCAAGAAGGUGGUUUCACCAGGGCAAUAUCCAUUGCACUCUGGAUGGAUUGACCCCUGUGAUUUCCUCAAAUGUGGGAAACUUGACUGCAUAAUUUGUGGUAGUGGGGGACUGUGUUUUCACUCUCCUUUU
ensembl:snRNA U1 U1 spliceosomal RNA